CGCAGCAACAACAAACCAAACGCAGUGGUGCUCGUGGUGUUGAUGAGGCAGAAGAAGAUGGUGUUUGUUGGUGUUACGGCUGAGAAGAUUGGUGUUCAAGGCGAGUAGCAGUUACAUUGGCGGUGGUGCAGUGGUGGCCAACCGCCUAAGAAGAAGCUCCGGUGUGGCAAGAUUGACAGCGGUAAAGGCAGGCUGAGAUUGAAGGAGGAGGACGCUUGCUGAGAUUGACGGCGGAGAUAAAUCAUUGACGGCAAAGAGGAUUAGGUUUAGGUUUCUCUGGUUUAGUUGAGGUUUAUUUGGUUUACUUUAUUUUUAAAUUUUGGUUUAGUUUUGUAAACCAGAAAUUCUGUAAACCGAUUUUAAUUUAUCAAUAAAAUUUAUUUCAUUUUAA